UCCCCGAUGGCUCAGCUGGUAAAGAAUCUGUCUGCAAUGCAGGAGACGCAGGUUCGAUCCCUGGCUUGGGAA
rnacentral:tRNA from 1 species